rnacentral:rRNA from 1 species
CCUACGUGUGGCAGCAGUGGGGAAUAUUGCGCAAUGGGCGAAAGCCUGACGCAGCGACGCCGCGUGAGGGAUGAAGGUCUUCGGAUCGUAAACCUCUGUCAGCAGGGAAGAACGGUCACUGUGCUAAUCAGCAGUGAAUUGACGGUACCUGCAAAGGAAGCACCGGCUAACUCCGUGCCAGCAGCCGCGGUAAUACGGAGGGUGCGAGCGUUAAUCGGAAUUACUGGGCGUAAAGCGCUCGUAGGCGGUAUGUCAAGUCAAGGGUGAAAUCCCCGCGCUCAACGUGGGAACUGCCUUUGAAACUGGCAAACUGGAGUGGGUGAGAGGAUAGUGGAAUUCCAGGUGUAGGAGUGAAAUCCGUAGAGAUCUGGAGGAACAUCAGUGGCGAAGGCGACUAUCUGGCACAUAACUGACGCUGAGGAGCGAAAGCGUGGGUAGCAAACAGGAUUAGAUACCCCAGUAGUC